UACGUAGGGUGCGAGCGUUGUCCGGAAUUAUUGGGCGUAAAGAGCUCGUAGGCGGCUUGUCGCGUCGGAUGUGAAAGCCCGGGGCUUAACUCCGGGUCUGCAUUCGAUACGGGCAGGCUAGAGUGUGGUAGGGGAGAUCGGAAUUCCUGGUGUAGCGGUGAAAUGCGCAGAUAUCAGGAGGAACAUCGGUGGCGAAGGCGGAUCUCUGGGCCAUUACUGACGCUGAGGAGCGAAAGCGUGGGGAGCGAACAGG
rnacentral:rRNA from 1 species